CCCUUAGAUGUUCUGGGCCGCACGCGCGCUACACUGAUGCAUUCAACGAGCCUAUCCUUGACCGACAGGUCCGGGUAAUCUUUGAAUCUGCAUCGUGACGGGGAUAGAUUAUUGCAAUUAUUAAUCUUCAACGAGGAAUGCCUAGUAGGCGCAAGUCAUCAGCUUGCGUCGAUUACGUCCCUGCCCUUUGUACACACCGCCCGUCGCUCCUACCGAUUGGGUGUGCUGGUGAAAUGUUCGGAUCGGCCGUUUGUCGCGGUUUCCGCGGCUCGUGGCUGAGAAGUUCAUUAAGCCCUCCCACCUAGAGGAAGGAGAAGUCGUAACA
rnacentral:rRNA from 1 species